AUGGCUCCUACCGAGGCUGAGGAUGAUGUAGAGGAGGGAGAAGAGAAGAAGAAGAGGGAAAGGAAGGCAGCCGGAGCUGCUUUCACGUGGAUUCAAAAUAACUUUGCGACGUGCCCUCCGGAUGCAACUGAUGAUGUGAUCCAGACACAUGCUCGUGUGUAUAUGUGGUACAUUGUGUCGAGGACUUUGUUUCCUGACUCCACUGGCAAGAACGCUCCAUGGAUGUGGCUGAAGGCGUUGACUGUCUUCGAUAGCAAAUGGAGCUGGGGUUCAGCGACUCUUGCCUACUUGUACCGACAGGUAGUUGGUCUGUUUUGUGAUCAACUCAUUUAUUCAUUAGGAAUGCAAGCUUGCUGUCAAGUUAACAUUGUUUUUCUUUCAUAUGUAGCUGGAUGA
rnacentral:rRNA from 1 species